CCUUUGUACCUCAGUUGGUUAGAGCGCUGCACCGGAAUCGCAGGGCCAUAGGUUCAAUUCCUAUAUCAGAGAA
rnacentral:tRNA from 1 species